UCACAUGGUCAAUUGUAUGUUGCCUGUUCCCGUGUUGGAAAACCAACAGAUUUGUUUAUCUAUGCGCCAGGUAAUCAAACAAAAAACAUCGUAUACCACAAAGCACUACAAUAAUAAUAAUAAUAAUAAUCUCUCGCUGGAUGGCUGGAUCAAGGGCCAGAUACAGAAGGCGGUAAUCCUGGACACGGCGCGCAUUGUCAGGAGGUUCCUCUCUCUGCGGCCCUAACCGCCGGUAGCUUGGGCCCUGCCCCGUUGCUGGCGGCACCCUAGGUUAGGUUUUUUAUACUGUGUUUAUAUUUUGUACUGUAUUUUUUAUUUUACUUUUUAUAUGCAUUUUAUAAAAAACCUAGCCUAAGAUCUAAAGUAAAUAAAGGAGAUAAUAAUGAACAUUCAAUGUCAUCAUAUGUCAUUUCAUUUUAGCAGCGAUAAUUAUUCUGUUUAAAUAAGUUUAAAAUCCCCGGUCGAAGACGGGGCGAGCAGCUAGUA